CCUGUCUUGCGCUGUCUCGUCGUGUCCUCCUGUUUCCCUGCUUUCUGGAUUAUGUCCCCUUGGAUUUUUCUGUUGGAUCAUCUUGUUUGUUUGAACUGUACCUGGACUCAGCAACUCAUUCCAGCAUGUGCCCUGAUGAAGUGAUGCUGAUUCUAAAUUUCACUAAUAUUGUGCAGGCCAGGAUCCUCUCCACCAGAGUUUAACCUCGCCCAGCCAGCAGACUGCACUAGGCGGCCCACUAAUGGACUGGUGUGGUGCACGGCAGGAGCAGGCGUUCCUAAUGACCCGUAACUGAGCAGCACUGGGCUGUACAGUAAGAGCACUCAGGAGCCUCAUGAAAUCUAACCCCGAUCUGAUUUUGUAACAGCAUGCGCUUCCUCAAUAACAUGGCGUCACUGGUGGGUGUGAAUAAUAGAGAAGCGAGACAGGCUCCAAGCACACAGUCUGACAGCAAUAGUCCUCUCUUUCCACCCUAGUAGUUUUAGUACAUUUAUUACAGUAUCCCCCCACUAGCAUUGUUGACUAGCUAAUAAAAUCUGCUCUGGCUCUGAGAUUUUCAAUCUAUCCCACAUUUAUUCAAGUCUAUUUCAUCCACAGCAACUUCUCUAAAGUCACUUCUACAUGCAUGCAAACGGGCUGAGCUUGUCUAUUGUUGAGGGAGGGAGUGAGAAAGGCUGUGCUGAUGCUUCACAGCCCUUAAUCCUAUUGAAAGUUAGGCCUGCUGUUUGUUUCCCUGUGUUGGCCCUAUCAGUCACACUUAGAUGAAGCCUGAGGGGAAGUAAUAUGGGUAGAUUGGGCCUGAGUGGCAAGGGGAAGUUGCCAGGGCAGAUGGGGGACUGCAGAGUAAUACUCUGUGAAGUACCACAGCCAGAGGUUCAGUUCGCUGUGGAUGGAUGUGUAAUGGUAAUGAAGAGAGAUGAGAUGAAUCUGAUACUCACAGGAGGGAAAUGUCUCACUCACAUACACACACACAAGCAAUACACUCAAGAAUAGCCCUAUGGAUUAUAGGCUGAAACGCUUGCUCUUGAUAAACAUAAUUUGGCACGGUGCUAUUUCUGCAGUGUCUCCACUUUUAAAUGUUUCGAGAGAGAGAG